AACGAACGCUGGCGGCAUGCCUAACACAUGCAAGUCGAACGAGACCUUCGGGUCUAGUGGCGCACGGGUGCGUAACGCGUGGGAACCUGCCCUUAGGUUCGGAAUAACUCCCCGAAAGGGGUGCUAAUACCGGAUAAUGUCUUCGGACCAAAGAUUUAUCGCCUUUGGAUGGGCCCGCGUUGGAUUAGCUAGUUGGUAGGGUAAAGGCCUACCAAGGCGACGAUCCAUAGCUGGUCUGAGAGGAUGAUCAGCCACACUGGGACUGAGACACGGCCCAGACUCCUACGGGAGGCAGCAGUGGGGAAUAUUGGACAAUGGGCGAAAGCCUGAUCCAGCAAUGCCGCGUGAGUGAUGAAGGCCUUAGGGUUGUAAAGCUCUUUUACCCGGGAUGAUAAUGACAGUACCGGGAGAAUAAGCGCCGGCUAACUCCGUG
rnacentral:rRNA from 1 species